UUAAAUUGAAGAGUUUGAUCAUGGCUCAGAUUGAACGCUGGCGGCAGGCCUAACACAUGCAAGUCGAACGGUAACAGGAAACAGCUUGCUGUUUCGCUGACGAGUGGCGGACGGGUGAGUAAUGUCUGGGAAACUGCCCGAUGGAGGGGGAUAACUACUGGAAACGGUAGCUAAUACCGCAUAACGUCGCAAGACCAAAGAGGGGGACCUUCGGGCCUCUUGCCAUCGGAUGUGCUCAGAUGGGAUUAGCUAGUAGGUGGGGUAACGGCUCACCUAGGCGACGAUCCCUAGCUGGUCUGAGAGGAUGACCAGCCACACUGGAACUGAGACACGGUCCAGACUCCUACGGGAGGCAGCAGUGGGGAAUAUUGCACAAUGGGCGCAAGCCUGAUGCAGCCAUGCCGCGUGUAUGAAGAAGGCCUUCGGGUUGUAAAGUACUUUCAGCGGGGAGGAAGGGAGUAAAGUUAAUACCUUUGCUCAUUGACGUUACCCGCAGAAGAAGCACCGGCUAACUCCGUGCCAGCAGCCGCGGUAAUACGGAGGGUGCAAGCGUUAAUCGGAAUUACUGGGCGUAAAGCGCACGCAGGCGGUUUGUUAAGUCAGAUGUGAAAUCCCCGGGCUCAACCUGGGAACUGCAUCUGAUACUGGCAAGCUUGAGUCUCGUAGAGGGGGGUAGAAUUCCAGGUGUAGCGGUGAAAUGCGUAGAGAUCUGGAGGAAUACCGGUGGCGAAGGCGGCCCCCUGGACGAAGACUGACGCUCAGGUGCGAAAGCGUGGGGAGCAAACAGGAUUAGAUACCCUGGUAGUCCACGCCGUAAACGAUGUCGACUUGGAGGUUGUGCCCUUGAGGCGUGGCUUCCGGAGCUAACGCGUUAAGUCGACCGCCUGGGGAGUACGGCCGCAAGGUUAAAACUCAAAUGAAUUGACGGGGGCCCGCACAAGCGGUGGAGCAUGUGGUUUAAUUCGAUGCAACGCGAAGAACCUUACCUGGUCUUGACAUCCACGGAAGUUUUCAGAGAUGAGAAUGUGCCUUCGGGAACCGUGAGACAGGUGCUGCAUGGCUGUCGUCAGCUCGUGUUGUGAAAUGUUGGGUUAAGUCCCGCAACGAGCGCAACCCUUAUCCUUUGUUGCCAGCGGUCCGGCCGGGAACUCAAAGGAGACUGCCAGUGAUAAACUGGAGGAAGGUGGGGAUGACGUCAAGUCAUCAUGGCCCUUACGACCAGGGCUACACACGUGCUACAAUGGCGCAUACAAAGAGAAGCGACCUCGCGAGAGCAAGCGGACCUCAUAAAGUGCGUCGUAGUCCGGAUUGGAGUCUGCAACUCGACUCCAUGAAGUCGGAAUCGCUAGUAAUCGUGGAUCAGAAUGCCACGGUGAAUACGUUCCCGGGCCUUGUACACACCGCCCGUCACACCAUGGGAGUGGGUUGCAAAAGAAGUAGGUAGCUUAACCUUCGGGAGGGCGCUUACCACUUUGUGAUUCAUGACUGGGGUGAAGUCGUAACAAGGUAACCGUAGGGGAACCUGCGGUUGGAUCACCUCCUUACCUUAAAGAAGC
rnacentral:rRNA from 1 species